rnacentral:rRNA from 1 species
ACGUAGGGGGCAAGCGUUAUCCGGAAUUAUUGGGCGUAAAGAGUGCGUAGGUGGUUUUUUAAGCGUGAGGUGAAAGGCAAUAGCUUAACUAUUGUAAGCCUUGCGAACUGGAAGACUUGAGUGCAGGAGAGGAAAGUGGAAUUCCUAGUGUAGGGGUGAAAUGCGUAUAUAUGAGACGGAACACCAAUGGCGAAGGCGACAAACAGGAUUGUAACCGCUACUGAGGCACGUAACCGUGGGGAGCAAACAG